rnacentral:rRNA from 1 species
CCUACGGGGAGCAGCAGUGGGGAAUAUUGCACAAUGGGGGAAACCCUGAUGCAGCGACGCCGCGUGAGUGAAGAAGUAUUUCGGUACGUAAAGCUCUAUCAGCAGGGAAGAAAAUGACGGUACCUGACUAAGAAGCCCCGGCUAACUACGUGCCAGCAGCCGCGGUAAUACGUAGGGGGCAAGCGUUAUCCGGAUUUACUGGGUGUAAAGGGAGCGUAGACGGCAGCGCAAGUCUGGAGUGAAAUCCCAUGGCUUAACCAUGGAACUGCUUUGGAAACUGUGCAGCUAGAGUGCAGGUGAGGUAAGCGGAAUUCCUAGUGUAGCGGUGAAAUGCGUAGAUAUUAGGAGGAACACCAGUGGCGAAGGCGGCUUACUGGACUGUAACUGACGUUGAGGCUCGAAAGCGUGGGGAGCAAACAGGAUUAGAUACCCGGGUAGUC